GUAGCAAUACUUAUUGAUGGCGACCGGCGCACGGGUGAGUAACGCGUAUGCAACUUACCUAUCAGAGGGGGAUAGCCCGGCGAAAGUCGGAUUAAUACUCCAUAAAACAGGGGUCCCGCAUGGGACUAUUUGUUAAAGAUUCAUCGCUGAUAGAUAGGCAUGCGUUCCAUUAGGCAGUUGGCGGGGUAACGGCCCACCAAACCGACGAUGGAUAGGGGUUCUGAGAGGAAGGUCCCCCACAUUGGUACUGAGACACGGACCAAACUCCUACGGGAGGCAGCAGUGAGGAAUAUUGGUCAAUGGCCGAGAGGCUGAACCAGCCAAGUCGCGUGAAGGAUGAAGGAUCUAUGGUUUGUAAACUUCUUUUAUAGGGGAAUAAAGUGUGGGACGUGUCCCAUUUUGUAUGUACCCUAUGAAUAAGCAUCGGUUAACUCCGUGCCAGCAGCCGCGGUAAUACGGAGGAUGCGAGCGUUAUCCGGAUUUAUUGGGUUUAAAGGGUGCGUAGGUGGUAAUUUAAGUCAGCGGUGAAAGUUUGUGGCUCAACCAUAAAAUUGCCGUUGAAACUGGGUUACUUGAGUGUGUUUGAGGUAGGCGGAAUGCGUGGUGUAGCGGUGAAAUGCAUAGAUAUCACGCAGAACUCCAAUUGCGAAGGCA
rnacentral:rRNA from 1 species